rnacentral:rRNA from 1 species
UGACGGUAUCAUAUGAAUAAGCACCGGCUAACUCCGUGCCAGCAGCCGCGGUAAUACGGGGGGUGCAAGCGUUACUCGGAAUCACUGGGCGUAAAGAGCAUGUAGGCGGGUGAAUAAGUUGGAAGUGAAAUCCUAUAGCUUAACUAUAGAACUGCUUCCAAAACUGUUCACCUAGAGUAUGGGAGAGGUAGAUGGAAUUUCUGGUGUAGGGGUAAAAUCCGUAGAGAUCAGAAGGAAUACCGAUUGCGAAGGCGAUCUACUGGAACAUUACUGACGCUCAGAUGCGAAAGCGUGGGGAGCAAACAGGAUUAGAUACCCUGGUAGUCCACGCCCUAAACGAUGUACACUAGUUGUUGCUAUACUAGAUAUGGCAGUGAUGCAGUUAACACUUUAAGUGUACCGCCUGGGGAGUACGGUCGCAAGAUUAAAACUCAAAGGAAUAGACGGGGACCCGCACAAGCGGUGGAGCAUGUGGUUUAAUUCGACGAUACGCGGAAAACCUUACCUGGCCUUGACAUAGUAGGAAUCUUUAAGAGAUUAGAGAGUGCUAGCUUGCUAGAACCUACAUACAGGUGCUGCACGGCUGUCGUCAGC